GACCAUCCCGCAGGCUCCCUGCCCGGCCGGCUCGGGGACGGGACUGGGACCGCUUCCCGACCCGGACCCGUGGGCCCGUGUUCGGUCCGGCCUCGCGGGACCGUUUCUCGGUCCGAUCCGCUCGAGCGCCGAGCCUGGACUCGGGGGCGGUCACCCCAGCGCCGAGCGAGCGGCUGGUUCUCAGGAAACACGUUCAGUCAAUGGAGAAGUGUCCUGGGUGAGGAUCAGCAACAACAAAGAAGUCGGAGGGACGGGCAGCUGUCUGUUCAGCCGAUCAGAAGGUGACUUAGGAAGAACGGGAAGAGCCGCUGCCUUGGGGAUGAGAAGGAUAUAAAAUCCCUGUCAUCGAGAAACUGGGUGUGACCUUAGACCAGUUCGAUGCCAUUGAUUUUUCUGACAAUGAAAUGCGGAAACUGGACGGCUUCCUUCGCUGAGGAGACUGAAGACCCUCCUGGUGAACAACAACAGGAUAUGAGAGGAAGGGAGAGGGAUAGAGAGUUAGAAACAUCGACGAGAGAGAAACAUCCAUCAGCUGCCUUCUGCACACUCCCUACUGGUUAUGUGCCCGCAACCAAGACAACCCGAGGGAAAGAGGAAUGCCCGACUGAACAGCCGGCCAUCGCAUGUUUUCACAGCGCCUGCCGCACCCGGGUGAGGGUGACCUGGACCCGCUGGCGUCGCUCAAGUCGCUGACCUCCCUGAGGUCGGAGAUGACCCGGUGACAGUGAGUCCCUUACAACAACUCCCUGCCCGGCCUCGACCUAAACAGCCAGUGAGGACAAAGGAAUGCUGAAUGGACCUGGAACUGGAAAAGCCUGGUGCGGGGCAGCUGCAUUCCCGACUGAGCCGGGCACCUACUUGACUCGGAGCUGAUCCGAUGCGGGCAGUGCCACCCCACCUGCAGGACCUGCGUGGGCCCCAGCAGGGAGGAAUGCAUCCACUUCGCCAGCAUCCUGCACUUCCGGGACUGGACGUGUCUGCCCACCUGUGGCGAGCGUCAAGCACGUGGCCUCCCCGUCAUGUCCCGCCGGCUCGAGCAUCUCCACGGUCAACCUCAGCCGCACCGGGUCCCGCUGGCGGGCCGGGCCGUCCACACGCGUGACUUGGGGCCCAACCGCCGGUGUCCGUCCACCCGGUCUGUGCGCCAGACCUGUGUCCGGCCUGUGGUUUAGCUGCCUGCUCCAGUUCUCGCCGAGGGGGUCCUGUGGACAGAGCCCCGAUAUUUCCCUGGAAAUGCACCGAUCGGCUCCCGGGACCUAGAGUAACCUUUGCUUUAAAGUUUCUCUCGAGCUUGUACGUGUCCGUUGUGUCCGGCUCCCCCCUCGAACCAUCAUGCAUCUGACGUGUCUCGGGGAGCAGGGGGAGCCCCCCACAGGAGUGAAUCGAAAUCAUGAAACAUAGGGAGACGUCGAAAUCAUGAAACAUAGGGAGACGCCCUCAGAGCAAAUGCGGUGUUAACCCUAAGUUAAUAAAAGAGUUAACAGCCCACAGCCAAGGACUCUUUCUUUCCCGGGCACAGCGAUGACACCUGGGUGCUGCCCGGCCGGUGAGGCUCAGCGGUUGAGCUUUGACCGGGAGGUCACAGGUCCGAUUCCUGGUUCGAAGCUCCAUCCCCGGUGUGGGGGUGCAGGAGGCACCGAUCAGUGAUUCUCAUCAUGGAUGUUUUUCUUUCUGUCUCCCUUACUCUCUGUAAAUAACCAAUAAAAUAUAUAUAUUUA